rnacentral:misc_RNA from 1 species
UUGAUUGAUUCGUUAUCAGACUCAGACGCACGGAGACAGGGUUGGACGGUCCGCCGGGGGCCCCGACGCCCGAAGGCCGGGUCGCCCCCGAGGCAACUAGGUCGGAUAACAUGGGGUUGGAGGUCGGGCCUGUGGGCCCUUCGCUCGGUAAUGAUCCCUCCGCAGGUUCACCUACGGAGA